ACGGCGGCGCGGACACGCCCCAGCUCUGCGCGCCCGGCCCCGAAGCUCCACCCCCGGCUCCACCUCGGACAGCGCCCAGAUCUGUCCCGGGGUCUUCUACCCACCCCUCGCGCAGUGCUCUGACCCUCAGUGGCUCUGUGACCGUGUGCGACAGCGCGUAAAGGCCUGCGUGCACCCGGGCACGGAGCGAUAAGGAAGCGUGGGGCUGACGUGCGUGAGGAGGUGUGGGGGGCAUGAAGAAUGUGCGUGAGCGUGAGAAGGCGAUGUGUAAUCAGCUCUCUUCUGCACACAGAUUAAACACAGAGCACUGUCACGUGACUGGUGUCCGACACACCACCAGUGGAUGAUGGGUGACCCUCAGCAUGAAAGCAGGUGACCAGCCCACUGGGCUCUUGUGUCCUGUAUUCUACUGUAGACGUGGACAGCUGAAGACCGUGACCUGAGGGGUUCAGUCUUCCCAUAAGAAUGGACUCUGCAGGGGCUGGAGAGAUGGCUCAGUGGCUAAGAACAUUGCCUGCUCUUCCAAAGGUCCUGAGUU